rnacentral:lncRNA from 1 species
UCAGCACAGUGCAAGUGUUCUCCUGGAAAUAACAUCAUACUGCCAGCCUCUUCGUUCUGCCAGCAGCUGUUCCUUCAGGGCUGUGUUUCUGGGAAAGGCAGACAUGCUAACCAGCAGCAGCAACCAUCUGUAUUCCAUGCAGCGGGACUUCAGGGAUUGCAGCCCUUGACGAAGUUCACUACCAGAUUUAAUCUGGGAACUGUGUGGCUGCAGAUAAAACACGAGAAAAUGCACGGCUCUCCUUGUGAAAAAAUUGCAGUUCAGAAGUCGCUAUUUCUACUCUCUGAGAUGCUUCACUGGUAUGUUGCUGAUGGUCAGGGGCUGCUUCUACAUGAGACAUCUCUAAGACAAGCUGAGAUGAUGGUCUUCCCUUUCCAGGAACUGCUUCGUAGGUUGUAACACUAGCCUGGCUGCGCAAAAGGAUGAAAUGAAGUUACUGGACAAAAAAAGUAAUGAAUAACCCCAAGAGGACAGUGAUUUCAAAGGCAGCAUAGUGUUACACAAAAACCUUUCACCAGAUCAAAUAUGGGUAAUAAUGACAACUGGACAAAAGGAAUACAAAACACUGUGCAAAUGUAUCCUGUACAGAUGAUACCUGCCUCUGACUGGUACCAGGGAGGUUUGCUUCUCUCUUACUCUGGCUGAAGCCAUCACUGAGUCUGUCGAGUCUAAAUGUAUUCAUUUCAAGCUAUUGUAAUUUGAUUCUUCACAUGUUUGUGAAAAUAAAAAUUAUUACUGCAUUUUGGGGA